rnacentral:rRNA from 1 species
AACUGAAGAGUUUGAUCAUGGCUCAGAUUGAACGCUGGCGGCAGGCUUAACACAUGCAAGUCGAGCGGGGGAAGGUAGCUUGCUACUGGACCUAGCGGCGGACGGGUGAGUAAUGCUUAGGAAUCUGCCUAUUAGUGGGGGACAACAUCUCGAAAGGGAUGCUAAUACCGCAUACGUCCUACGGGAGAAAGCAGGGGAUCUUCGGACCUUGCGCUAAUAGAUGAGCCUAAGUCGGAUUAGCUAGUUGGUGGG